UAUUAUUAUUCUCGUUUUGUUUUAUUUUAGUACAAUUUGUAAAAUAGUAAUCUUUUUCUUUUGGUGUUAUCUACAUAUAGUUGGUAGGUUGUAAUGAAUGUAAUUGUGUAGUGGAGUAUGACCAAUUACAAGUUUUCUAUCAUGCUUUUGUUUGCCUUUAUUUUGCAAGUGUUUAAAAUACUUGAACAUGAGUACUCUUGGUACAAACAGAUGAGUGUUUGUGGAAAAAAUAGUUUGGCUUGGUAUAUUUUAGGAGUGAUUGUGUUAUAAGGGGUUGACAGAUGUACUCGGGGGUGAGCCGCGCCUGCAGCCGACUCUCGUAAAAUAUAAUACACAAAAGUAAGAAAAAAAAGCUAGUAGUGUUUACACUUUAAUAUUGACAGUUGCGCCUGUGUAUAAUACUACUACGUAUAAAUGGCUGGUGUAACCAAGCGUAAACAGAUAAUUCACAAAUAAGCCUCCACAGUAAAUUAUGAGACCUGUGUAAAGUCAUAGCUAUCUCACUGUCAUUAAACUUAUUUGCUUCCGGGAUGGUAGUUUACCGACUACAUUUCCCAGUCUUCUUUUUGUAUACCUCUCCUGCCAGCGCCAUCUAGGCGUCUUCAGUUUGAGUCCUGCCUGUUUCUGCCUACUUACUCUUCUUUCUUUCAUUCUUUCCACGAGAGAGCGUUAACCCUCACUUCUCUCUUAGAGUUCGUCCAUGUCACUUUUCCCCUACUCCCGCAGCCUGGUCUCGUGCGAGGCUUGUCCGGUGCCUUCCUGGUCAACCAGGUGUUACUGCUGGCGGCCCACUGACCCGGCAUUAAAUAUUACUAGUACAAGUGUUAGAUCUAUCAGAUUGUGAUGGAAAUGUGUACCUGAGGACAGCCAACAGCAACAGCCUAGUUGACCAAGCACUCUACGGGAAGACAUAGCCAUGGAAGUAGGAUAACUCCGGCAACAGGUCACAGAUGUCGAGUUGUGGAGAUGCACACCGGGCCGCGGGGGCGCUGAUCCCCGGAAUAUCCUCCGGGUAGACUCCAGGUAUAUCUCUGGUCCCGAGUUCAACCCUUCACCUACAUUGUUUUGGCACCCACGCACUAUCGUAGUCGGGAAAUUGGAACUGAUGACCUCGGUUUCAGUAAUAUGAUAGUUUUAUGUCAGUGUAUCUGCUGAAGGUCCACAUUAUAAUCAAAGAAAGCGCUAAACCAACAAGUGUCAUGCAGCUGAAAGUCUACAGUUGAAGUCGUUUUGUUCUCCUUGAUUCCUUGCCUGAUGCUGUGCUGUUCACUACUGCUUAGAGCAUUACUGCUGUUUGGUGAAGGGGUCGUCAUAUUGUUCAAACAAGCUGUUUUUUGACUGCCUUGAUGGUACAGAAGUAAGCUUAUCUAGGGAUUUGUUGCUGUCAGUCAUAUUCUAAGCCAAGUCAGUCCGAGCACUUACACAUACUUACUCUUGCACUUAUUGAGUACAUUUCGUCCUAGGAACUUACCAGACGGUACAUUAAGAGUACAGUAUCUUAUCAAAUGUGUCCAUAGCACCAUACAAGCGUUAAACCCACCAUAUGUGGGGUUAGUGCCUUUCCCUAAAUAUAACAAGUACUGUAUAUAGGGCAGUUCAGUUUGUAAAAAGAUGUUCACGAGUGUGGACGGAGGACACAAUGUGAACACCACAAAAUAAAAAUUAAUGUAUCAAUGCUUCUGAAUUCUUACCUAAGCAUUAAAUCAGUGUUAAUCAAAACUAAUGGCUAAACCCACCAGGGUUUUAAAUAUUUCCCCCUCAGGUGAGGUGCCUUGAUGCUGGUGAAGGAGUCAUGAUCCAAGGAACUGAAACUUGUGCUCCCUCUCCUUGCAGUGAACCCAAAUGACUCUCAUUAUCUCAGAUGCCAUACAACUCCUACGGGUUAAGCAAUCCCCCAUGAAUGUACUAUGACCAAUGAAGAGUGUUAUGCCUCAAAUCUACACUUUUUUGGUGUGACACAGGCGAGGUAAACACAGCAUCACCGACACUGGUGACCUGCAGCAUCACAGACACACUGGAGACCUGUAUCAUCACUAACACUGGUGACCUGCAGCAUCACCGACACACUGGUGACCUGCAGCAUCACCGACACACUGGUGACCUGCAGCAUCACCGACGCACUGGUGACCUGCAGCAUCACGCUCGCCCUCUGAUGUCACGUGAGGUCACAGGGUGAAACUCGUCAACCCCAGUUAUCAGACGUCAAGAAAUAGUUCGUCGACAAACGGAAAGUGAGGAAAUAGAAUGAGAUGUUUACAUAAACUAAUAAGAUGAAAACUAAUUUAUGAUGGUUAACACAGCGGAUGCAAGAAUUACAUCUCAUCCCCUAAGCUUAAAAUAUGUAAUCACUGGGUCAGCCAAGUUGUGAUGAUUAUGCAGACGAGCUGCAAGCAGCAACAAGAUUGGUCAUGCAGUCACCAGGGAAACCUGACAUCAUUCUGGGCUGUAAGAGUUGAAUAACUCUUGCAAACAAUCACAGUUAACACAAACUAAUUCAGUGUAAACUGUCAUACAAAAAUAUAUUUUCAUUGCAAUUAAAGAGAAAAACUGGAGUAUUCUUGAAUGUUUGGAUCAAUUUACCCAGAGCGUAAUUCGUGCAUAUAAAAAUGGAUGGCAAACAUGGAAAACAAAUGUGUACCAAUUUUUACUUUUCAGGAAUCUCUUUGCAUAUUCAUGGAGUGUUUUAUAUUUAAAUAGCCGCAGCCAUCUUUUCUGUGGCCCCUGAAGGCGCCUGCCUCCCCGACCCCCACCAUACUAACCUACCUCUCAGCACAAGCCUAAAUAAUAGCUGCAUUCAUGCUCUUAUUUUACAACCACUGUCCUACUCGCAUAGUUUGUCUCGGAUGUUUUGAGAAGUGGGAAACUGAAAGGAUCAGAGAGAAAUGCAGGGAGGGAUGAGCGAAGGAGAGGAGGAAGUGAGGGGCAAGAUUGCGCAAGGGUUAGUAGGGAUGAGGCGCAGUCCAGAAUUAAAAUCUUCAGAGUUGAUGCAAUAAGUUAUUUUCUGUUAAAAAAAACUGAGUCUGUCAAAGGUGGGACUUCCAGCGAGGUCAGUUAAGCUUACUAUAAACACACACACAACCUAUAUCAGUAUUAUACUCAAAAGCGCUAAACCCACGGGGGUCAUACAACGUGUGGGAAUGAGACAAUGAGGUUCGAUCCAAGGGAAGGUCAAAUUCCUUUUAUCAAGAGCCCCUCACCAGCAUCACUGAGCCUCCCUUGCGGAGUAUACUGGUAGUAUAACAAGUGUCGAAAGAUAUUGCAGUAAUCCCUGCAUGUUGACACCUAACCUCUGGUGUUAGUGAUGCGUCUGGCGUAAUAAGUAGUUCAGUGUUGAAGAAAAGACGUGUUGCACAACAAGUUUUUAUUACCACAGUAUUUUACUCUGCUAUCGCUUUAUCAAGUACCUUGAACUUGAUGCAGCCAUGGCAGACCCAAACAUUGCCCUAAUUAAAGCUUUAUUUUUUACAAUGUGUCUCUUCUUCAACAAAGUCAGCAGUGUGCCAUAUGGAUCUUGAAGACUACAAGAGGUUACCUGGAGCCUGGU